rnacentral:rRNA from 1 species
GACGAACGCUGGCGGCGUGCUUAACACAUGCAAGUCGAACGGAAAGGCCCUGCUUUUGUGGGGUGCUCGAGUGGCGAACGGGUGAGUAACACGUGAGUAACCUGCCCUUGACUUUGGGAUAACUUCAGGAAACUGGGGCUAAUACCGGAUAGGAGCUCCUGCUGCAUGGUGGGGGUUGGAAAGUUUCGGCGGUUGGGGAUGGACUCGCGGCUUAUCAGCUUGUUGGUGGGGUAGUGGCUUACCAAGGCUUUGACGGGUAGCCGGCCUGAGAGGGUGACCGGCCACAUUGGGACUGAGAUACGGCCCAGACUCCUACGGGAGGCAGCAGUGGGGAAUAUUGCACAAUGGGCGGAAGCCUGAUGCAGCAACGCCGCGUGCGGGAUGACGGCCUUCGGGUUGUAAACCGCUUUCGCCUGUGACGAAGCGUGAGUGACGGUAAUGGGUAAAGAAGCACCGGCUAACUACGUGCCAGCAGCCGCGGUGAUACGUAGGGUGCGAGCGUUGUCCGGAUUUAUUGGGCGUAAAGGGCUCGUAGGUGGUUGAUCGCGUCGGAAGUGUAAUCUUGGGGCUUAACCCUGAGCGUGCUUUCGAUACGGGUUGACUUGAGGAAGGUAGGGGAGAAUGGAAUUCCUGGUGGAGCGGUGGAAUGCGCAGAUAUCAGGAGGAACACCAGUGGCGAAGGCGGUUCUCUGGGCCUUUCCUGACGCUGAGGAGCGAAAGCGUGGGGAGCGAACAGGCUUAGAUACCCUGGUAGUCCACGCUGUAAACGGUGGGUACUAGGUGUGGGGUCCAUUCCACGGGUUCCGUGCCGUAGCUAACGCUUUAAGUACCCCGCCUGGGGAGUACGGCCGCAAGGCUAAAACUCAAAGGAAUUGACGGGGCCCCGCACAAGCGGCGGAGCAUGCGGAUUAAUUCGAUGCAACGCGUAGAACCUUACCUGGGUUUGACAUGGAUCGGGAGUGCUCAGAGAUGGGUGUGCCUCCUUUGGGGUCGGUUCACAGGUGGUGCAUGGCUGUCGUCAGCUCGUGUCGUGAGAUGUUGGGUUAAGUCCCGCAACGAGCGCAACCCUUGUUCACUGUUGCCAGCACGUUAUGGUGGGGACUCAGUGGAGACCGCCGGGGUCAACUCGGAGGAAGGUGGGGAUGACGUCAAGUCAUCAUGCCCCUUAUGUCCAGGGCUUCACGCAUGCUACAAUGGCUGGUACAGAGAGUGGCGAGCCUGUGAGGGUGAGCGAAUCUCGGAAAGCCGGUCUCAGUUCGGAUUGGGGUCUGCAACUCGACCUCAUGAAGUCGGAGUCGCUAGUAAUCGCAGAUCAGCAACGCUGCGGUGAAUACGUUCCCGGG